AGUACCAUUUUGUUCUUGUAUGUCCUGCCUUUAGAUCAUUGAGACAACAGUUUUUACCAAAAUAUUUUGUUCAUGGCCAACUAAUAGAAAGCUGGUAUUUCUAUUAAGGCUAACUCAAAGAGUCUUACUAAAAAAUUGUGUAAAUUUCUUAAUGCGGCAUGGAAGUUAAGAUCACAAAUAAUCAUUGCAUACCCGUUGUAAUAUGUGCGUGUGAC
rnacentral:lncRNA from 1 species